rnacentral:rRNA from 1 species
AUAUGCUCGUCUCAAAGAUUAAGCCAUGCAAGUCUAAGUUCACAUCAAUUAAAGAUGAAACUGCGAAGCGCUCAGUAAAUCAGUUAUUGUCCGUUCGAUCAUAUCAGCCAUGGAUAACUGUGGUAAAUCUAGAGCUAAUACAUAGCAAAUUCCGGUUAAACGGAAGCAUUUAUUAGACUUAGCCAACGGCCCUUGGUUCCACUUAGGAAUCAAAGGUUAAGGUGAACCUGAAUAACUGUGCAUAUCGGCACUUGUGCCGAUAGUUCGAUCGAAUUUCUGCCCUAUCAACUAGUUGGUGAGGUCUUGGCUCACAAAGGUUGUAACGGGUAACGGGGAAUCAGGGUUCGAUUCCGGAGAGGGAGCCUGAGAAACGGCUACCACAUCUAAGGAAGGCAGCAGGCGCGCAAAUUACCCAAUCCAGAAUUUGGGAGGUAGUGACGAGAAAUACCGGAGUUGAUCAUAAUGGUUAACUAUCGGAAUGAACGUAAUUUAGUACUUUCGAUGAGUAGCUACUGGAGGGCAAGUCUGGUGCCAGCAGCCGCGGUAAUUCCAGCUCCAGUAGUGUAUAUCAAUGUUGUUGCGGUUAAAACGCUCGUAGUUGGAUUACAAAAGCUCGAUGGGGCCGCAGCUCAAGUGGUUGCAGCGUCGUGGGGUUUUUUUAUCGCGAGAGCCGUGUGUGGGAUUAAUUUCUUGUAUGCGGUCACUUGCGGAGUGUGCCUUGAAUAAAGCACAGUGCUCAAAGCAGGCGUACGCUCGAAUGUUAUAGCAUGGAACGAAUAUUUUGACCAGGUCGAUUGUUGGUUGUUGACAGGGUCUCGAUUAAAAGGAACAUUUGAGGGCGUUGGUACUUGGUGGCGAGAGGUGAAAUUCUUAGACCCACCAAAGACUCACAAAUGCGAAAGCAUUCGCCAAGAGUGUUUUCAUUAAUCAAGAACGAAAGUCAGAGGUUCGAAGACGAUCAGAUACCGUCGUAGUUCUGACAGUAAACGAUGCCAACCUGGGGUUAGUUUGUUUCUAAAUAAGUUGGUCCCUCGGUGAAAACUAGUGUUUCGGUUCCGGGGAGAGUAUUCACGCAAGUGAAAAAUUUAAAGAAAUUGACGGAAUGGCACCACCAGGAGUGGAGCCUGCGGCUUAAUUUGACUCAACACGGGGAAACUCACCAGGUCCAGACAUUGACAGGAUUGACAGACUGAGAGAUCUUUCAUGAUACGAUGAUUYGUGGUGCAUGGCCGUUCUUAGUUGGUGGAGUGAUCUGUCAGGUUUAUUCCGGUAACGAACGAGACCACGAUCUCUAAUUGAAACGGUCAUUUUGUUUUGACCAAUCUUAGAGAGACAACCGGAUUCAAGCCGGGGGAAGCGUGGCAAUAACAGGUCUGUGAUGCCCUUCGAUGUUCUGGGCUGCACGCGCGCUACAAUGGCAGUGACAACGAGUGCCUGCUCUGAGAGGAGUGGGAAAUCUUGGAAAUCGCUGUCGUGAUUGGGAUUGAGCCUUGUAAUAAUUGCUCAUGAAAGAGGAAUUCCUCGUAAGCGCGAGUCAUCAGCUCGUGUUGAAUACGUCUCUGCCCUUUGUACACACCGCCCGUCGCUACUACCGAUUAGAUGUUCUUCAGAACCGUUAGGACACGCCUGGUCACUGGUCUUGACCAUACCGGGCGGGGAAAAACCGUGAUAAAGAAUAUCCAGAGGAAGUAAAAGUCGUAACAAGGUUUCCGUAG